CAUCGUCGCGCCGGCGGCCACUUCCUCGCGCCAGCGGCCGCUUCCUGCUACAUCCCCAUCCACCGUGUCUCUGGUUACAUCCACUGUAAGGAACAUUUUGCUUGAGGGGAAAAGAUGGAAGUAGAGUAUGAGUGAUUUCUUGCGUGUUGUGAUUAAUUACUUCAGUAGGAGAUAGUAGAAAUUUCCUUUGCGAAUCUCCUCAUUCUUCGUACCUUUUCGAUCUGCAAGAUCUAGGCACCUGGUCGUGCAAGCUCUAGGCGGUCAGAUUUGCAAUUUCUACUACUAUUUUUCUUGUCCUUAAUGAAACCGUUGUGAUUAGAGAUGCUAGAUUUUUAAGGCUCCCAAUUUUACAAAACAAGAACUACCUACGUCCUCUUGCAGCAAUGAGAGAGAAUGAUGGAUUAGUUACAUCGCGGUGUCGCCUGUGGUAUCGUUCAUCCUCUGUUGAAGGCGACGUGUCCCCUGCUACAUCCUUGUGUAUCUGGCUUGGCUGACUCGUGGCCGUACCUGUUGCUUAUUCAUUAGCUUGUCCGGCUACAUCUCUGCGCCCGUUAAUUCUUCAUUGGCUUCUCCCGCUACAUUGUAUCUUGCCCGCGUAUCCGGCUACAUCAACGCUUCCACGACCACAUCUUCGCUUCCUCGGCUAGAUCUUUGCUUCACCGGCUGCAACCACCCAGCCCAAGCUACGUCUUCUGGUAAGGUACACCUAGCAAUGCAUCACCAUUCUUUUUUAUUAAGAAGGUGCAUGGUGUGAUUUGCAGUCAAGAAUGGCGAGUGCAGCUAUAAGGCAGGCAGGGAGGAAGUUUUGCAAGGCAGUCUCAUCAAAGACAGAAAGUAAGUUUUAGAAAGACAUGUUAAAUCGAUCCAUCUGAGAUGUAUUACAUCGUUGUCGACAAUUGUUUGAUGGAUAUCUGUACUUAUUGAAUUUUUUUUUUUGCCCCUAAUGUGGACGAGAUCCACUAUGAACUAUGGUGUGCUUUGUAAUGUCAAACUAUGAUACAUCAGUAUUCUACACCCCUUUCCAGUUA